CAGCAGCCACGGUAAUACGAAGGGUGCAAGCGUUACUCGGAAUUACUGGGCGUAAAGCGUGCGUAGGUGGUGGUUUAAGUCCGUUGUGAAAGCCCUGGGCUCAACCUGGGAAUUGCAGUGGAUACUGGGUCACUAGAGUGUGGUAGAGGAUAGUGGAAUUUCCGGUGUAGCGGUGAAAUGCGUAGAGAUCUGGAGGAAUACCGAUGGCGAAGGCAGCCAUCUGGCCUAAUACUGACGCUGAGGUACGAAAGCAUGGGGAGCAAACAGGAUUAGAUACCCCCGUAGUCCCUGUCUCUUAUAC
rnacentral:rRNA from 1 species